CACUCCUGCGGGAGGCAGCAGUGGGGAAUAUUGGACAAUGGGCGCAAGCCUGAUCCAGCCAUGCCGCGUGAGUGAUGAAGGCCCUAGGGUUGUAAAGCUCUUUCACCGGUGAAGAUAAUGACGGUAACCGGAGAAGAAGCCCCGGCUAACUUCGUGCCAGCAGCCGCGGUAAUACGAAGGGGGCUAGCGUUGUUCGGAUUUACUGGGCGUAAAGCGCACGUAGGCGGACUAUUAAGUCAGGGGUGAAAUCCCGGGGCUCAACCCCGGAACUGCCUUUGAUACUGGUAGUCUUGAGUUCGAGAGAGGUGAGUGGAAUUCCGAGUGUAGAGGUGAAAUUCGUAGAUAUUCGGAGGAACACCAGUGGCGAAGGCGCCUCACUGGCUCGAUACUGACGCUGAGGUGCGAAAGCGUGGGGAGCAAACAGGAUUAGAAACCCCGGUAGUCCCAUGAU
rnacentral:rRNA from 1 species